UACGGAGGGGGCUAGCGUUGUUCGGAAUUACUGGGCGUAAAGCGCACGUAGGCGGCUUUGUAAGUUAGAGGUGAAAGCCCGGGGCUCAACCCCGGAAUUGCCUUUAAGACUGCAUCGCUAGAAUUGUGGAGAGGUAAGUGGAAUUCCGAGUGUAGAGGUGAAAUUCGUAGAUAUUCGGAAGAACACCGGUGGCGAAGGCGGCUUCCUGGACCGACACUGACGCUGAGGCGCGAAAGCUAGGGGAGCAAACGGG
rnacentral:rRNA from 1 species